GAUCUGCUCAGGAUGAACGCUAGCGGCAGGCUUAACACAUGCAAGUCGAGGGGCAGCAUAAUGGAUAGCAAUAUCUAUGGUGGCGACCGGCGCACGGGUGCGUAACGCGUAUGCAACCUACCUUUAACAGGGGGAUAACACUGAGAAAUUGGUACUAAUACCCCAUAAUAUCAUAGAAGGCAUCUUUUAUGGUUGAAAAUUCCGAUGGUUAGAGAUGGGCAUGCGUUGUAUUAG
rnacentral:rRNA from 1 species